rnacentral:rRNA from 1 species
UGAAACCGGGUGACCUAUCCAUGAGCAGGUUGAAGUUGGUGUAAAAGCCAAUGGAGGACCGAACCCACGUUCGUUGCAAUGACCGGGGAUGACUUGUGGAUAGCGGAGAAAUUCCAAUCGAACUCGGAGAUAGCUGGUUCUCCCCGAAAUAGCUUUAGGGCUAGCGUUGGCUUAGAUUACCGGAGGUAAAGCACUGAAUGGGCUAGGGGCCGAUAAGGUUACUGAACCCUAUCAAACUCUGAAUGCCGGAUAAUUGAUGGCCAGCAGUCAGUCUACGUGAGAUAAGUCUCGUGGACAAAAGGGAAACAGCCCAGACCCACAGCUAAGGUCCCAAAGAUACGCUAAGUGGAAAACGAUGUGGAGUUGCGAAAACAACCAGGAUGUUGGCUUAGAAGCAGCCACUCAUUAAAAGAGUGCGUAAUAGCUCACUGGUCGAGUGACCCUGCGCGGAAAAUAUAACGGGGCUAAGCGUCCAACCGAAGCUUGGGAUGUCUAAGGACAUGGUAGGGGAGCGUCGUGUAUAGGGAGAAGCAUGAGCGAGAGCACAUGUGGACAGUACACGAGUGAGAAUGCCGGAAUGAGUAGCGAGAAUUAUGUGGGAAUCAUAAUGGCCGAAAAUCUAAGGUUUCUUGGGGAAGGUUCGUCCGCCCAAGGUAAGCCGGGAGCUAAGGCGAGGCCGAAAGGCGUAGUCGAUGCACAUACGGUUGAAAUUCCGUAGCCGCCGAAAUUGUUAAGCACAGGGACACAUAGAGAUAUCCGAACCCGGGCGUUGGUCGACCCGGGCGCAAGGGACCGAACAUCAGUAGGGAAGUCGGAGAUGCUCUGUGGCGAGAAAAGCUGUGUGUAUUGAUUAGGCGCCCGUACCGCAAACCGACACAGGUAGAUGAGGAGAGAAUCCUAAGGCCAACGGGAGAAGGGUUGUUAAGGAACUCGGCAAAUUGACCCCGUAACUUCGGGAUAAGGGGAGCCUCCUACGGGAGGCCGCAGCGAAUAGGCCCAAGCGACUGUUUACCAAAAACACAGGUCUCUGCUAAAUCGAAAGAUGACGUAUAGGGGCUGACGCCUGCCCGGUGCUGGAAGGUUAAGAGGAGAUGUUAGCCGCAAGGCGAAGCAUUGAAUCGAAGCCCCAGUAAACGGCGGCCGUAACUAUAACGGUCCUAAGGUAGCGAAAUUCCUUGUCAGGUAAGUUCUGACCCGCACGAAUGGCGUAACGACUUGGGCGCUGUCUCAACAGCCCACCCGGCGAAAUUGUUGUACUGGUGAAGAAGCCAGUUACCCGCAACUAGACGGAAAGACCCCAUGGAGCUUUACUGCAGCUUAAUACUGGAAAUCGGUAAAUCAUGUACAGGAUAGGUGGGAGACUUGGAAGCCAGGGCGUCAGCUUUGGUGGAGUCACCCUUGGGAUACCACCCUUGAUUUGCUGGUUUUCUAACCUGCGGCCGUGAAUCCGGUCGGGGGACACUGUUAGGUGGGCAGUUUGACUGGGGCGGUCGCCUCCUAAAAGGUAACGGAGGCGCUCAAAGGUUCGUUCAGCACGGACGGAAACCGUGCAGUGAGUGUAAACGCAUAAACGAGCCUAACUGCGAGACCGACGGGUCGAGCAGUAACGAAAGUUGGAGUUAGUGAUCCGGCGGUAUGCAAGUGGAAGUGCCGUCGCUCAACGGAUAAAAGCUACCCUGGGGAUAACAGGCUGAUCUCCCCCAAGCGUCCACAGCGACGGGGAGGUUUGGCACCUCGAUGUCGGCUCGUCACAUCCUGGGGCUGUAUUCGGUCCCAAGGGUUCGGCUGUUCGCCGAUUAAAGUGGCACGCGAGCUGGGUUCAGA